ensembl:snoRNA
AUACUUAUGAUGGUUGCAUAGUUCAGCAGAUUGGAUCAUGAAGAGAGACACCAUUUGUCUGAUGUAUCU